rnacentral:rRNA from 1 species
CAGUCGCCGCGGUAAUACAGAGGGUGCGAGCGUUAAUCGGAUUUACUGGGCGUAAAGCGUGCGUAGGCGGCUUCUUAAGUCGGAUGUGAAAUCCCUGAGCUUAACUUAGGAAUUGCAUUCGAUACUGGGAAGCUAGAGUAUGGGAGAGGAUGGUAGAAUUCCAGGUGUAGCGGUGAAAUGCGUAGAGAUCUGGAGGAAUACCGAUGGCGAAGGCAGCCAUCUGGCCUAAUACUGACUCUGAGGUACGAAAGCGUGGGGAGCAAACAGGAUUAGAUACCCCAGUAGUCCCUGUCUCUUAUAC